rnacentral:lncRNA from 10 species
GUUAUUAUCCCUUUGAAUAAACUUUCUACCUCUCUUUCUCUACCUCUUCUUUAAGGCCAGUAACUCUUAGAUAUGACCUUUUGAGGCUAUUUUCUAUAUCCCGUAGGCAUGCUCCAUUGCUUUUUAUUCUUUUUUUUUUUGUCUCCUCUGACUGUGUAUUUUCAAAUAGCUGUUUUCAAGCUCACUAUUUCUUUUUUCUGCUCAGUUCAUUAAAGCAAUGCUAUUAAAGGACUCUGAUACAGUCUUCAAUAUACCAAUUAUCUUUUUCAGCUCCAGAAUUUCUGCUUGAUUCUUUUUUAUAAUUUCAACCUCUUUAAAUGUAUCUGAUAGAAUUCUGAGUUUUCUCAGUGUUAUCUUGAAUUUCUUCGCAUUUCCUCAAAAAAGCUAUUUUGAAUUCUCUGUCCGAAAGGUCACAUAUCUCUGUUUCAAGCAAGGUUUGCAAGCACUCAAGUUCAGACCACUAGGAUGGGCAGUUCUCCUCUGGCUAGGGUUGGUUUAAAUGCUCCCUCUGUGGGUGGGCAUCAUCUGAGUUUGGUCUGGUUUUCCUUUCUGCACUAACAGGGCAGAACUGAGUUCUGUGCCUCACAAUUGCUGUGUUUUCCCUCUCUCAACACCCAUAG